AUCAAGUUAGUUUAAGCAAAAUUCUGGGUUGUGGUCCUAGUGAUGGGAAAUAUGUACCCCACUUGAUA
rnacentral:tRNA from 1 species